rnacentral:rRNA from 1 species
GUGGGGUGCGCAUGUGCGUACUCUGACGCAGCGACGCCGCGUGAGCGAAGAAGGUCUUCGGAUCGUAAAGCUCUGUCUUUGGGGAAGAAGUAAGUGACGGUACCCUAGGAGGAAGCCCCGGCUAACUACGUGCCAGCAGCCGCGGUAACACGUAGGGGGCAAGCGUUGUCCGGAAUCACUGGGCGUAAAGGGUGCGUAGGCGGUAUGUCAAGUCAGGUGUGAAACCCCGUGGCUUAACUGUGGGCUUGCACAUGAAACUGGCAUGCUUGAGUGCAGGAGAGGAAAGCGGAAUUCCUAGUGUAGCGGUGAAAUGCGUAGAUAUUAGGAGGAACACCAGUAGCGAAGGCGGCUUUCUGGACUGUAACUGACGCUGAGGCACGAAAGCGUGGGGAGCAAACAGGAUUAGAUACCGUGGUAAUCAA